AUAAUAGACAGUUCGUGAUGGACUUUUAAAGCUCAGCUGAUUUUGGAUUGAUGGCAAAGGGAGAUGGACUUAAGUGAGAGUGACAACACAAGCUCAAGAACCCCAGGGGGAUUCAAUGGAGCCUGAAUACCUGCAAUGAGACCCUCACCCUGAGCCUGAGUCUCAACUCCCAGAGUUUUGCAAGCCUCUCCCUGUUCCUUAUUUUUAUUAAA